rnacentral:misc_RNA from 1 species
UUUCCGUAGGUGAACCUGCGGAAGGAUCAUUAAAGAGAAUAUGCCCUUCGGGGUAGAUCUCCCACCCUUUGUUUAUAUUACCUUUGUUGCUUUGGCAGGCCCGUCUUCGGACCACCGGCUUCGGCUGGUCAGUGCUUGCCAGAGGACCCAGAACUCUUAUUAUUAAUGUCGUCUGAGUACUAUAUAAUAGUUAAAGCUUUCAACAACGGAUCUCUUGGUUCUG